rnacentral:lncRNA from 10 species
CAACAAACUUUUUUUUAAAGGAAACAUUUUGCCCUAAAUUGCUGGUGAAGUUGUUUUUUGACAGAGCUGUUUUAUUGCUGAAGAUUUCUUAUUGAUGCCAGUCAUAACAGAUGAAUCAAAAUGCAAGAACAACUUUUUUUACUACUCAGCAUGCCCCAGGAUCAGAAAUAAGUCGAGCAUGGAAGAGACAAAAUUCAGAUAUGGUGGGAUAGAAGUCACGGUUGCUAUUUUUAGGCCACAUCCAAAUGUUACACACUCAACUUCUGAAAAACACUAAGCUUUCAAUAUAUGAAUAGCUCCCAUUAUUUAAGAAAUACUGUUAAGCAAACUUAGCUCCAUGAAGAACACUGGCAUAUGAUAAGUGCUCAGUAAAUGUUAGUGCUUAGUAGUGGUAGUAGUAGUAGUAUAUGUAUCAUUGUUUAGUACUGCACACAUCAGGCAUGAACUCCUACAUACCCCCACCCUUAUGCCUGCAGACCUGUCUAAAUUUGCAUUCUUUCUGACCUCGAGUCUUAAGGUAGAAGCCAUCCUUCUGUCCUUUCUACAGGUAAUUUUUAUUUCUUGAGGGAAGAGAGAUUGACUCAAGACUCUUACUCCCUUAAAUAUUCCCACUCCUGUUCAUAAAUUCUCCCUCUACUUUGUCCCUUCUAUUUAGAAAAGCUGUCUAUACUUAGAUUGCUAUUACCUUCCAAAUUCCUCUUCAACUACAGAAAUUUAGCAGCUCCCUCCAUUUUACUGUAUACAUUGCUUGUAUCAAUUUCACUGUGGCAUAAUGGCCAAAUUGAAAGGUUGCUUCUCAGUUUUCAUAACAUCUGAUCUCUCUGCAGCCUUCCACACUGCUGACCACUGCCUCCUGGAAACUGCUCCCUUGGUUCUGUCACCUUACAUUCUCUGCUCUUCUGCCUUGUCUUAGGCCACUCUUUCUCAGGUCUCCUGUGCAGAAUCCUCCCUCCCCAUUCUUGGUUCUCUGCCUACCAUGUUAUAAUCUUUGACAGUACCAUUUACGUAUACUCUUCUAUCACUUAUUUCAGUCAGGAAUCAAGUCUGAAUCUUGAACACAGAUCUCAGUCAGAAGCAUCAGACACAGUAUCUUCAACCCCUUAUUGGAAACCUGUACUGGGUGUUCUACAGGCACCUCAAGCUCAACAUGAUUAACAUCAAACCCCUGAGUUUGUUCUGUCUUCCACCAUGGACUGAGAUGUGAUAACAGUGCAAAGGAGCAGGUUUUGGGAGAACAAGCAGGAAUUUAGUUUUGGUAAUGUUAAAUUUGAGAUACCUGUUGGAUAUCUGUUGUACAAACUGCUUCCUAGCUGACUCUUAUGCAUUCUGCUCUUUAUCCAUGAUAAUAGAACAUCUAGCCAGACACAUGGUUGCCUAUAAUACACCCUUAAGUGUGGCCAUAUCUCUUAAGUUCUGGCCAGUAGGAUGUGAGCAGAAAUUAUGUAUGCAACUUCCAGAUCAUUUUCUAAAAGAAAUUGGGUGUCACUUGCCCUUUCUUUUGUCCUUUUCUGAUGAAUGUAUGUAUUAAAUAGUUGGGGUAGUAAACCAUGUUGAAAGAUGCUGUGGUUUCAAUGAUGGUGUCCCCUUCAAAAUUCAUGUUGAAACUUAAUCCCCAUUGUGAUGAUACUAACAGCUGAUGAAAUCAUGAGGGCCCUGCCUCAUGGAUGGAUUAAUACCUUGUAAAAGGACUGGAGGGAACUAGCUUAGGCCUUCUUUUGCCCUUCCAUCCCUUUAGCCACACGAGGACACAGCAUUCACCCCCUCCAGAGGAUAUAGCAGUAAGGUCCCACCUUGGAAACUGCAGCCCUCACCAGACACUAAACCUGCUGGGGGUCUUGAGCUUGUACUUCCCAGCCUUUAGAACUGUGAAAAAGUAUAUUUCUGUUCUUCACAAAUUUCCCAGUUUCAGGUAUUUUGUUACAGCAGCAUAAACAAGACUAAGACACUGGGAAACAUUCUAGGGAUUGCAGAGCAACAAGUUGGGGCCCUGAGGACUUCAUUGGGCAGGUCCUGUGUACCAGGUCAACUCUGAUGUAAGACAGCUACUAACUUCUAUGAUCUGCCAUGGUUAUUCUAAAUCCCUUUAACUGCAGCUGACCUUGUGUCUUAAUAUCCAAGCAAAGAUAUCAGGAGGCAGUUGGAUGUGGAAGUCUAGAGUUAGAGGAGAAUGAAACCAACUCAUCUUACAUUCUUUGACUUGAUUGGUGACUCUACCAUCUAUGGCGGUCCACAGUCAUAAUAAUGGUAGCAAUCCUGGAUUUCUUCCUUUCCCUCACUCUCCUGGCAAUUAAGAGGCAAAGUUGUAUCUCUCUAAAGAAUUGGCUUUAGAAUUAGUGUAGCAAAGUAGCUGAGAGCACAGGCCCCCAACUUACUGGCAAGUGCACAGAUACCAGGCAAGAUUGUAAACCCCUUUCUGAUUUAGUUUCCUCAUCUAUAAAAUGGAGGUGUAGGGAUUAAGUGUUAAUGUACAUAAAGUUCUUAGAAUAAUGCUGGGCACAUAGUACAACUCAACAAAGGCAGGCUUCCCCCCGCCCCACGCAAAUCCCAGUUCUGCCAGUUACCAGAAAUACAACCUUGAGUACCUCAAUUGGUGUCUGUUUCCUCUUUAGGAAAGUGGGAAAAAAUAAUAGUACCAUCCUCAUAGGACCAUUGUAAUCCUUCAUUCAUCUAUUCAGUACAUAUUUAUUGAAUGGAUAUGUGCGAGCACUGUUAUCAGUGCUGAGAAUACAGCAAUGAACAAAAACAGUCUACCUUCAUGGAGUUUGUGAUCCAUGGAGGAAGAAAACCAACACAUAUGUGUUAUGUCAGAAUAUGAUAUGUUAAGGAGAAAUACAAAGCAAGGCAAAGGGAAUAGGGAGUGCUACAGGAGUUCCGUCAUGCCGAGUGGCCAGGGAAGAUCUUAUUGAAAAGAAUUCGUUUAAUCAGAGGCUUGACAGAAGUGAGGAAUGAACUGUGGAAAUACAAAGGAAACAACCUUCUAGACAGAGGGGGCCCUGAAGCAGAAAGGUGCCUAGAGUCAUCUAGGAACAGUAGCAAGGCAGUCCAAGAAUGAGAGAAAUGAGAAAAAGGAGGAGAAGGAAUACUUGAGGAAAACAAUGACCAAAACAUCCCAAUUUUGAUGGAAGCAUUUAUGUUCAUAUCCAAGAAUAUCAAAUUAGAUAAACUGAAAGAAAUCUACACUUACACAUAUAAUAGGCAAAACUGUUAAAAGACAAAUAAGGAAUACUGAAGACAGAGAAAAAUGACUCAUUACAUGCAAGUGAUCUAUAAUAAGAUUAAUAGCUAGCUUUCCAUAAAAAAAUCAUAGAGAUGAGAAUGCAAUGAAAUGACAUAUUCAAAGUGCCAAAAGAAAAAGAAUGUCAAUCAAGAAUUCUAUAUCCAGCAAAACUAUCUUUUAUAUAUAAAGGAUAAAUUAAAGCUGCU